ensembl:ncRNA K07C10.4 ncRNA
AAACAUGUUCUGCCUGUCUGCCUGCCGUCAAGGUGGCCUCAAAAAUGCCCUAUACAGUCAUGUAGGCAGGCAGGCAGGCAUAAAGGCGUGCCCGAAUACCUAUCAUGUAACCCUGUUUUGGCACUCGCUUUUUAGCAACAUUUGAAAUGC